ACGAUAUGCUUUGGGGAGCUGUAAGUAAGCUUUGAUCCAGAGAUUUCCGAAUGGGGAAACCCAGCAUGAGUUAUGUCAUGUUAUCGAUAUGUGAAUACAUAGCAUAUCAGAAGGCACACCCGGAGAACUGAAACAUCUUAGUACCCGGAGGAAGAGAAAGAAAAUUCGAUUCCCUUAGUAGCGGCGAGCGAAACGGGAAGAGCCCAAACCAACAAGCUUGCUUGUUGGGGUUGUAGGACACUCUAUACGGAGUUACAAAGGACGACAUUAGACGAAUCAUCUGGAAAGAUGAAUCAAAGAAGGUAAUAAUCCUGUAGUCGAAAAUGUUGUCUCUCUUGAGUGGAUCCUGAGUACGACGGAGCACGUGAAAUUCCGUCGGAAUCUGGGAGGACCAUCUCCUAAGGCUAAAUACUCUCUAGUGACCGAUAGUGAACCAGUACCGUGAGGGAAAGGUGAAAAGCACCCCGGAAGGGGAGUGAAAUAGAACCUGAAACCGUGUGCUUACAAGUAGUCAGAGCCCGUUAAUGGGUGAUGGCGUGCCUUUUGUAGAAUGAACCGGCGAGUUACGAUUUGAUGCAAGGUUAAGCAGUAAAUGUGGAGCCGUAGCGAAAGCGAGUCUGAAUAGGGCGUUUAGUAUUUGGUCGUAGACCCGAAACCAGGUGA
rnacentral:rRNA from 1 species